rnacentral:rRNA from 1 species
ACGAACGCUGGCGGCGUGCCUAAUACAUGCAAGUUGAGCGCUGAAGGUUGGUACUUGUACCGACUGGAUGAGCAGCGAACGGGUGAGUAACGCGUGGGGAAUCUGCCUUUGAGCGGGGGACAACAUUUGGAAACGAAUGCUAAUACCGCAUAAAAACUUUAAACACAAGUUUUAAGUUUGAAAGAUGCAAUUGCAUCACUCAAAGAUGAUCCCGCGUUGUAUUAGCUAGUUGGUGAGGUAAAGGCUCACCAAGGCGAUGAUACAUAGCCGACCUGAGAGGGUGAUCGGCCACAUUGGGACUGAGACACGGCCCAAACUCCUACGGGAGGCAGCAGUAGGGAAUCUUCGGCAAGGGACGAAAGUCUGACCGAGCAACGCCGCGUGAGUGAAGAAGGUUUUCGGAUCGUAAAACUCUGUUGGUAGAGAAGAACGUUGGUGAGAGUGGAAAGCUCAUCAAGUGACGGUAACUACCCAGAAAGGGACGGCUAACUACGUG